rnacentral:lncRNA from 1 species
CUAGGAGCGGCGGUGACACUAGGGUGUGGUGCAAAAGGGGCUAGGGUUUCUGUUGAAAAGUUUAGGGUGUUUGGCCUAUCAAGCUAUGAGGGUUUUUUUAAUUUGGGCUUUGUUUUCUGUAACUGGACUGUUGUAUUUUGGACUUUGUAAUUGGGUUUGUUUAUUUAUUUUUUUUGUCUAAUUUCUGUUUGGGUUGAUUAGGCCUUUUAUUUGUAAUUCGAGCUCGAGCUAAAUUUUCC